UACGACAGCAGGAAAAGAAUCUGAACUAAUUCACCAGCAGACAUGCUCACGGCUUUCUCUGCCAGCAUUCGGGUUGUGAAAAACGUUCAAAGGUUGAUGCAAUAAAUGUACAGUUUGUUCCUGAAACAAUGGAAUCACAGACUCAAGAGAGAGUGUGAUUAAAAGUUAAGAAGGCCACUUCUUCUCUGUAGCCUACUCUGUGUAAAUUCAGCCUUAUUUGAUUUGGGGAUGGGGAAGUUUAUCAGCAGCCUUUGUUUACUCAUCACCAUCUCAUGAACUAACACAUACUGAUACAGUAUACGUACCAUGUGUACUGGUAUCUACUCAACAUAAAGCUACCUCAGUUUGUUUCAUGGACCGAAUACCCUCCACGUUUCAUCAGCAAAACAUGUCUGUAACGCAGGCAAUAUACGGCUCCCUGUUGUAAAAACAAGUCAAUAAGACUGAAAAUUAAAGUUCCCAAAAUGGAACAAAUCCUAGCGAGAGAAAAUACUUCUGGGGAUCCUUUUUCCAAGUCUAUACUGAUUUGUUUUACUUAAGAACUUAAGGGGAAUUUUUUUUUUUGGCAGGUAAAUGUUCAAAAGAGCAUUCAUGAUGAUUGGACAAAUUAUGUAAACUAAAGGAAAACCUUUUUUCACUGGUUCUUAAGUCACGCAGGCAGGAAAAGUAUCAGAUCAGAAAAUGGAUCGACUCACCAAAGAUCAACACAAAUAUAAUGCAGACAAGCCAAUCGGGGAUUGCAAAGAAUUAGAUUGAAAAAAGUACUCAAUUUCCAUCUAAUUAAAGUAGUUUUCCGCGUUUAUUUUUAUUUAAUAUUGUUCAAUCUGCCAAUAGGAAUUCUCUUUCUCUUUCUGGAAUUUGAUUGGAUUUAAAUCAAGAAUACUGAUUAUGGCUCAUUAAAUCUCAGUUUGUCAGGAAUCUGGCCAUCAAAUUAAUAUUCAUAUUAAAGCAAAGUACUGACAUUUGUUUAAUCUCACUGUUAAAACAACACAAAAGAGGCUGUGUCACAUAAAGGGGGAUCUGAGCCUUCUGAUUGGUGGGUGUCCUGCUCCCCGGAGGACGUGACCCAUCAACAGAUGCCCCCCCUCACUGCUCAUAACUCGUAUAAGCUGCUUUCUAUGUUUUGUUUGCCUUAACAUGUUUCUACUUGUGUCUUUAUUUGAAACUCAUAACCCUGGUUUGAGUGAACUGAAAGCACAGCUGGGUUUAGUGGUGUCUGAGUGUGUAUUUGUGUGUGUGUGUGUGGGGGGGGGCUCCGUGGGGCUGUUUUCUUUGUCAAUCUCAGUUACUGUGCUUUUACUAGGCCCGAGCCACUGUCCAAUAGGGAGGCAGCAUAGACUCCAGUCCUCAAGCGUCUCAGAAGAAAAGCUUUGUGUCCCAACGCUCGGAAGACAUUUGCCAUUACGUUCCCUUUGUGCCGCGGAUCCUGAUGGAAAACGCUUCCAUCUCUCGGCCUGUUUUAGCUGCACUGCUUCAUCCUGAGCCGUUAAACACGAGAGUCGGUGAAAAGGUUAUUCACUAAUUUCUCCGUCCCAGCAGGGUGAGCGUGUACAUUCUGAACAUGAAACUAAAACCAUCAUCGCAGUGUGGGUUAUGGUACAUCUUUACAGCACAAUCGCCGUACUACUCGUGUUCUAAUGCUGGGCCAGAGGUAUGUGUGGUAUCAUGACAGACAAGUAACACCUGGUAGUGGGCGGGGCUUAAUGUAAAAAGCUACGGAUUGGGUUAAAAGCAGGUCUGUUAUGUUAGGAAAGCUACGUGAAGUGAAGGCCCUUUGUUUGACCCCCCGCCCCCUUUCUUUCUCUUCAAAGUCUUAUACUGAGGCGGAUGGGUUUACAUUGGGUUAGUUUGCAGUUCUGUCCGAGUGUUGGUAUUUGAUGCCCUCAAGGCCCAGGCUCCUUUGUCACUGGAGGAGGAGGACUCGCCUGAGGUCAAGUGGGAAGUGACCACGGCCGUCUGUGAGAUGUGAACGGCGACCCGUUGUGGGUCAUUCAGCUUUAGUAGAAGCACAGUAACCAGCAGCCGAAAACUGCUCGCGUUCCAGGCUCCCUGCUUUAAUCGUUCUGUACAGAUAUCUGUUUAAGGAGUUGGCUGAACACGGAUACCGCAGGUAGUGAACUGAUCAACUUCAAAGCUUAUCUGUAAAUAAAUGUAUGCAGUGUACACGCUAAAAAAGAACAUUCCUCUCUUUUUGAGUUGCGACUGUGAAGGGCGUCUCUGAGCUGUGACGCCACCAUGAUGCUGUAACUAUGACAAUAUACUACAGAGAAAAAAAUGAUAAAUGUGGUGUAUGUGGUGUAUUUAAAAAAGAUACUAAUGUUUAAGACUAAAAAAUGGGUCCGUAAGUUGAAUUGUGUGAUGAAAGUCUGAAGUGCUAAACAUUCUUUCAAUGGGGAAAAAGUACAUUUUAUUGUAAAAAUAAAUCAAUAGUGAUAAACACGAUCAAAAUUGCAUUUUUGUAUAUAUGGGAUUUUUGUAAAUUUUUAUUUGAAUCUGAUGCAACACAAACUACCAGAAUUCAUUUAAUAAAGCACACUGUGGUCAUUUU
ensembl:lncRNA